rnacentral:rRNA from 1 species
UCGCAAGACCUCGCCCGAUUGGAGCGGCCGAUAUCAUGAUUAGGUAUUUGGUGGGGUAAAGGCCCACCAAGCCGACGAUCUUCACCUGGUCUGAGAGGACGACCUGCCACGCUGAGACUGAUGCACCGCCCUGACUCCUACAGUUUGAAACCGUGCUGAAUUUUGGACAAUGGCCCCAUCUCUGAUCCAGAUAUGCCGCGUGCAGGAUGAAGGCCUUCGGGUUGUAAACUGCUUUUUACUCGGACGGAUGAUUCUGCCCUAAUACUUGGGGAAUAUAACGGUACCUUGCAGAAUAAGCACCAGCUAACUACUGGCCUCCAGCCUGGGUAAUACGAGUGAGACUCAGCGUUAAUCGAAAUUACUGGACGUAAAGCGUGCGCGUGGGGGCAUGUUUCACCUCUGUGAAAUCCCCGCGCAUGCUUCUGGGAACUGCAUACCCUGACUGCAUAGUCUCGAGUACGGGGAAGAGGGAUGGAAUUCCACGAGAAACUCUGAAAUGUAUAUAUGUGCGAAGGAGCUUCGAUGGGGCAGGGCAAUCCCAUGGGACUAUACUCACGCUCCUGCGCGAAAGCAUGGAGCACCAAACAUCAUCAGAUACCCUUUCAGUCCACACACUACACGAUUGCUCCUGUCUUGUGGCUCUUCACUGACUCACCAACCGAAACUACCGCGUAGAAGCUGACCGCCUAGGGUGAGUACGAGCCGCAAAGGUGUACACUCAA